rnacentral:tRNA from 1 species
GCACUUUUAGUAUAUGUAGUAUAGUCGCCUUCCACGCGACAGGGCAAAUAAAAGUUUGAAAGUGUAA